UGGGGAAUUUUGGACAAUGGGGGCAACCCUGAUCCAGCAAUGCCGCGUGUGUGAAGAAGGCCUUCGGGUUGUAAAGCACUUUUGUCCGGAAAGAAAACGUCGUGGUUAAUACCCGUGGCGGCUGACGGUACCGGAAGAAUAAGCACCGGCUAACUACGUGCCAGCAGCCGCGGUAAUACGUAGGGUGCAAGCGUUAAUCGGAAUUACUGGGGCGUAAAGCGUGCGCAGGCGGUCCGCUAAGACAGAUGUGAAAUCCCCGGGCUUAACCUGGGAACUGCAUUUGUGACUGGCGGGCUAGAGUAUGGCAGAGGGGGGUAGAAUUCCACGUGUAGCAGUGAAAUGCGUAGAGAUGUGGAGGAAUACCGAUGGCGAAGGCAGCCCCUGGGCCAAUACUGACGCUCAGUGCACGAAAGCGUGGGGAGCAAAACAGGAUUCAGAUACCCUGGGUAGUCCAACGCCCUGAAACGAUG
rnacentral:rRNA from 1 species